UGCAAAAUUUUCUUACACGUGUGCCUAAAGUAGGAGAUGAGCAGAGAUUGAUUUAAUUCUUCAUUAAGAAAAUAAUUCUUUUCCCUUCUUGAUGACUGGUAUUUUUAGUAGAGGAGGCUUAUGAAGAAGAACAGGUUCUUACACUAUUGUUAGAGUAUCUGUUUAUUGAACCAAUUGUGCUAAACUCUAUUGUUGGAAAUACUAUUUAGUGUGUGUUUUUUCUUUCG